rnacentral:rRNA from 1 species
UACGUAGGCAGCAAGCGUUGUUCGGAAUUACUGGGCGUAAAGAGUGUGUAGGCGGUGCUCCAAGUCUGGUGUGAAAUCUCCCGGCUUAACUGGGAGGGUGCAUUAGAAACUGGAAUGCUAGAGGAUGGAGAGGUAAGCGGAAUUCCUGGUGUAGCGGUGAAAUGCGUAGAUAUCAGGAGGAACACCUGUGGUGUAGACAGCUUACUGGACCAUUUCUGACGCUGAGACACGAAAGCGUGGGGAGCGAACAGG